CUCUGUGGCCCCCAACAGGACUGGGGUUCUGACGGCAAGAAGAAAGGGGAAAGGAUACUGAGCUCGCGAUUCUGCGGUGAGGAGAGACUCAUAUUUUCCUGGCCACCUCUCCCGACAUUGACUCUGCUGGAUGUGUUCCUUCAGUUCUCGGAUUGCCUGUGUGUGUGCUGCCUUCGUCCACCCACUCUCCUUCAAUCUGCUCAACAACAACAAAGAUGCUCCUGCAAGGAAGGCUUUUGUGUUCCGCACACUGGUAAGAACUGCGCCCGUCUGCCUGCUUUCCUGUGCCGAGUCCCCAGCACAGACAGACAGCUGGUGAGACGGGAGGACAUUUUCUCCACGAGGCGCCUGGGAGCUCGUGGGAGGCAAGCUCUGUGUCUUAGAGGUUGGACCAGCGGGAGUGCCGGGGUGCUGUCCUUCCGGUGGCCUCUUGCUACAUCAAAUGUCAUCUGAGGACACUCACUUAAUACUUUGAAGCAUCAAUUUCCUCUUCGAUAAAAUGAGGAUGACGACAAUGUUUGCCUCAUUCGGGUGACCAUGAAGAGAAACGACACGCUGUCUGCACGAGGGUGCCUGGCCCAGAGUGGAGUCUUGUGAACAUGAGCCAGGAGGAUCGUCGUCCCGUGUUUAGCAAUCCCAAGCUCUGGGCUGGGCCAGAGGAAGGGUCCAAACUUGGUCCCUGUGGGCCUGUUGUGGCUCUGUCUACAUGCUUUGACUUCAUUCGGGGGUCCAGGCCGAGGAAGCAGCCCUCCUCUGGGAUGUACCAUUCCUCCAGCCAAGGGAAGAGCUUUACAGAUCUGGUCCACAGACCAACGACUUGGAAACUCCCAUCAUGGCAGUGCGAUUUCUGACCGUGGAAAACUGGGAGCAACCUAAAUAUCCAGCAAUAGGAGAAUGGCAAAUGGACAGUGGUUUUGUUCAUGCAACAGCAUGUCUGAACUACAGCUAACUACAAAAUUGGAAAACUCUCCAAAACAUCAUGGCAAGUUGAGAAGGCAGAUGCGGGAGGAUACCUAUUAAAAAACAUGGCAAGUCUUGGAAACAGGAAUCUUUGGAGCAUCCUCAUGGCUCAGAACAUCCCUUCAAAACACAUGCUGUCCUUCCCGGCCUCUCCCUAUCCCAGGAGAGUGAAAGCGGGCUGAUGGUCUAAUUGCUACCGUUUCUUGACCGCCUACUGCGUGCCUACCAGCC